rnacentral:rRNA from 1 species
CCUACGGGAGGCAGCAGUAGGGAAUCUUUCACAAUGGGCGAAAGCCUGAUGGAGCAACGCCGCGUGCAGGAUGAAGGCCUUCGGGUUGUAAACUGCUUUUAUAAGCGAGAAAUAUGAUGGUAACUUAUGAAUAAGGAUCGGCUAACUACGUGCCAGCAGCCGCGGUCAUACGUAGGAUCCGAGCAUUAUCCGGAGUGACUGGGUGUAAAGAGUUGCGUAGGUGGCAUAAUAAGUAGCUAGUGAAAUCUGGUGGCUCAACCAUUCAGACUAUUAGCUAAACUGUUAAGCUCGAGACCGUUAGGGGUAACUGGAAUGUCUAGUGUAGGAGUGAAAUCCAUAGAUAUUAGAAGGAACACCAAUAGCGUAGGCAGGUUGCUGGGACGGUUCUGACACUAAGGCACGAAAGCGUAGGGAGCAAACGGGAUUAGAUACCCCUGUAGUC